AGGAAAUUCUAGAAUAAAAUGUGUAUGAACAAAAAAAAUACAAUUAUCAAGUUAGCUCAAUUGGUUGUGACUUCAAAGGCCUCUUGUGAGGUCUUGGGUUCGAAUCUCCUUGCUAGUAUUCACCGGUUCAUUGGGUCAACCUGGGAUGCUGGUCUGGGUUUAAUGACACUGGUUUGGAGAGUUGGCAUUUCUGUUUUACUUGCUAUUCUGGGCCAAUUACUCAAAAUUUUGUUAUAGCUGAAUUAAAAUCUCAAAGCAAGUUACCUGUUUUUCAUAAUUUGGAACUUUCCCUUUUUUUUUUUUUGCUUUU
rnacentral:misc_RNA from 1 species